GUGAGUAGUUCAGAGUUUGAUCCUGGCUCAGGAUGAACGCUGGCGGCGUGCCUAACACAUGCAAGUCGAACGAAGCAACUCAAAGUUUUCGGACAGAGAGUUGACUGAGUGGCGGACGGGUGAGUAACGCGUGGGUAACCUGCCUCAUACAGGGGGAUAACAGUUAGAAAUGACUGCUAAUACCGCAUAAGCGCACAGUACCGCAUGGUACAGUGUGAAAAGCCGAGACGGUAUGAGAUGGACCCGCGUCUGAUUAGCUAGUUGGUGGGGUAACGGCCCACCAAGGCGACGAUCAGUAGCCGGACUGAGAGGUUGAACGGCCACAUUGGAACUGAGAUACGGUCCAG
rnacentral:rRNA from 1 species